GUCUAUGGCCAUGUCACCCUGAAUAAGCCCGAUGUCUGAUCUCAGAAACUAAGCAGGGUUGGGCCUGGUAAGUACUUGGAUGGGAGACCAUCUAGGAAGACCAGGUGCUGUAGGCG
rnacentral:rRNA from 1 species